AAAUAGGCUUCUUGGCUGCUAAAGCGUAGCAGCUCCUCGCUGCCUUUGCUCUCGGGGCUUCACAGUAGUUGGGGCCUUUGGGCAAUGGGAGCUGCUAUUGACCACAGGGCAGAUUGGGCCUGGGUAUAAAUGGAGUCCCCUGGAGGAGCCAUUUUGAGCUCCUCCCCUGGGGGACCCAUUUUGAGCUUGUCCCCUUUGGAG